rnacentral:rRNA from 1 species
AACGAACGCUGGCGGCAGGCCUAACACAUGCCAGUCGAGCGAGGACUUCGGUUCUAGCGGCGGACGGGUGAGUAACGCGUGGGAAUGUGCCCUUCUCUACGGAAUAGCCCUGGGAAACUGGGAGUAAUACCGUAUACGCCCUAUUGGGGAAAGAUUUAUCGGAGAAGGAUCAGCCCGCGUUGGAUUAGGUAGUUGGUGGGGUAAUGGCCUACCAAGCCGACGAUCCAUAGCUGGUUUGAGAGGAUGAUCAGCCACACUGGGGCUGAGACACGGCCCAGACUCCUACGGGAGGCAGCAGUGGGGAAUCUUAGACAAUGGGGGCAACCCUGAUCGAGCCAUGCCGCGUGAGUGAUGAAGGCCUUAGGGUUGUAAAGCUCUUUCAGCUGGGAAGAUAAUGACGGUACCAGCAGAAGAAGCCCCGGCUAACUCCGUG